rnacentral:rRNA from 1 species
UACGUAGGGUGCGAGCGUUAAUCGGAAUUACUGGGCGUAAAGCGUGCGCAGGCGGACUUGUAAGUCAGGGGUGAAAUCUCACAGCUCAACUGUGAAACUGCCUUUGAUACUGCAAGUCUUGGAUCCAGAAGAGAGUUGUGGAAUUCCGAGUGUAGCAGUGAAAUGUGUAGAUAUUCGGAAGAACACCAGUGGCGAAGGCAGCAACUUGGUCUGGUAUCGACGCUCAGGCACGGAAAGCAUGGGGAUCAAACAGA